rnacentral:tRNA from 1 species
GGGUAUAGCUGAGUGGUAAACGGUGCACUUAGCAUGCAUGAGGACCUGGGUUCGAUCCCCAGUAUGUCCA